CUGAUGACCUGUGAGGACGAAAGCUGUACGCCUUCGAUGAAGAGGAAGAGGAGCUGCACAUGGUGGCUGAGAACCUGGAGGAGCUCUCUGAGAAGGGACUGAGUAUCCAUCAUCUGAGAGCUACUACAAAGGAGAGGCCUUCAAAGAUAUGACGGAGAAGGACUGGGCCAAGGUGAAGAAAGGAGAUGUGGGUCAGCAGCUGGAAGCAGAGCAUCGUAAACUGGUGGCAGCAAACAAGUCCAAACUUCUGGAGAAACUCGGAUCAGUUAAAGCUACUGUCUGAGCUGUGGUUCAGUAUCUGUUAGAGGAAAA